UACAGAGGGUGCAAGCGUUAAUCGGAAUUACUGGGCGUAAAGGGCGCGUAGGUGGUUGAUUAAGUCAGAUGUGAAAACCCUGGGCUUAACUUAGGAAUUGCAUUUGAAACUGAUCGACUAGAGUUUGGGAGAGGGAAGUGGAAUUUCCGGUGUAGCGGUGAAAUGCGUAGAUAUCGGAGGAACACCGGUGGCGAAGGCGGGUCUCUGGGCCGUAACUGACGCUGAGGAGCGAAAGCAUGGGGAGCGAACAGG
rnacentral:rRNA from 1 species